CAUGCCUUACACAUGCAAGUCGAACGGCAGCAUGGAAGAGCUUGCUCUUCUGAUGGCGAGUGGCGAACGGGUGAGUAAAGCAUCGGAACGUACCGUGUAGUGGGGGAUAACGUAGCGAAAGUUACGCUAAUACCGCAUACGCACUGAGGUGGAAAGCAGGGGAUCGCAAGACCUUGCGCUAUACGAGCGGCCGAUGUCAGAUUAGCUAGUUGGUAGGGUAAAGGCCUACCAAGGCGACGAUCUGUAGCGGGUCUGAGAGGAUGAUCCGCCACACUGGGACUGAGACACGGCCCAGACUCCUACGGGAGGCAGCAGUGGGGAAUUUUGGACAAUGGGCGAAAGCCUGAUCCAGCCAUGCCGCGUGAGUGAAGAAGGCCUUCGGGUUGUAAAGCUCUUUCGGCUGGGAAGAAAUCGCACAGGCUAAUACUCUGUGUGGAUGACGGUACCAGCACAAGAAGCACCGGCUAACUACGUG
rnacentral:rRNA from 1 species